rnacentral:tRNA from 1 species
GGUCUCGUAGCUCAACUGGCAGAGCAAGCGACUCUUAAUCGUUAGGUUCAGGGUUCGAUUCCCUGCGAGACCA